rnacentral:rRNA from 1 species
CCUACGGGAGGCAGCAGUGAGGAAUAUUGGUCAAUGGGCGUAAGCCUGAACCAGCCAAGUCGCGUGAGGGAUGAAGGUUCUAUGGAUCGUAAACCUCUUUUAUACGGGAAUAAAGUGCGGGACGUGUCCCGUUUUGUAUGUACCUUAUGAAUAAGGAUCGGCUAACUCCGUGCCAGCAGCCGCGGUAAUACGGAGGAGCCGAGCGUUAUCCGGAUUUAUUGGGUUUAAAGGGUGCGGAGGCGGCCUUUUAAGUCAGCUGUGAAAUUCUGUGGCUCAACCAGAGAAUUGCCGUUGAAACUGGGAGGCUUGAGUACGUGUGAGGCAGGCGGAAUGCGUGGUGUAGCGGUGAAAUGCUUAGAUAUCACGCAGAACCCCGAUUGCGAAGGCAGCCUGCCAAGCCAUGACUGACGCUGAGGCACGAAAGCGUGGGGAUCAAACAGGAUUAGAUACCCUAGUAGUC